UUGCAAAACGGCGGCCGGACGCGGCUGUCCUGGCUCAGGCCCGGCACGGAGUGAGAGGCCGGCGUGCCGGGGGCGCCCCGGCACCCUGGUGCCACUUAGCGGCAGCGCCGAUCCUUGCUCGGGGCGCCAGCUCGCCGAGCGUUCUGGCGCGCACCUCUGCACCCUCACGGUAUCCCGCAGGCCUCGGGAGAGAAACCCGUUGUUAACGAAGGAAGGAAACUGAGUGUGGGCCGGGGCCUGUGCGUGCUUUAACGUGUGGCGUGGAAGUGGGCGCUCCAUUAAUAUGCAGUAUGUUUAGUGGCCCCCACUGCCUCGCUGGCAUCUUGUUUGGGAGGAGCAGAUGCUCACACUGGGGACACGCCUCGGCGCGCUCGCCGUCGGAGAAACUGCAGCUCAUUCACGGUGGAGCUGGCAGAAAGGUUUCCCAGGAGAAGUGGUCGCUGGCGGGGAGCCUGAGGGACGUGUCCACAGCACAUCCAGCUGCUUGGUGAGACUGUUUCCAUGGAGCUGUUUUACCGCUCUGCGCGGAUUUCCUUUGAACCAGUUGUAACAUCUUCCUAUCCCUUCAUGAGUUAACUCCUUCCUAUUCCUUCAUGAGUCAGAAUCUUUAACGUGUUCAUUUUUACAUGUUCAUUGACAAAAGCUUGACCGAACUUUAGACAGGCUUGGGUCUCCCACUGGUGUGAGCGCUCUCUCUCUCUCGCUCUCUCGCUCUCUCGCUCUCGCUCUCUUUUUCUUUGAUUGUCUUUAGAGAAAGAAGAAGGGAAGUGAGAGAGAGAACUCUGAACUUUUCUUUCUUUUUUGGAACACUGGGUAUUGCCUAGCUGUGUUUCAGGUUUGUAAGCCUGAAUACCCUUAAAUAAAUUUGCAUCAUUUAUUUCAAGCCAAA